GGGCUAUGUGGGGGGUUGGGGUUCAGGGUAUGCAGGGCUGGGGGGGGUCAUUGGGGUUUGGGGAUGGCAAUGGGGGCUGGGGGAAAGAUGAGGGAUUAUGUUGAGGCUGGAGGGUCAGAGAAUGGGGGGCUGGAAGGGGUGGGGGCUCAGGCAGCUUCUCCCUGAGCCCUGUGUGUUGCAGGAUCCGUGCUGGGGGGCAGCUCCUGAGGAGCCACAGCCCCGAGUCGUGACCGAAGGUCUCUGAGUCUGCGUGGGACUGCCCGUGUCCCUCAGGUGUUCCUGCUCACCACAGAGGCUGCUGGGGCUGCGCCCUGUCCCAGGCCGAGGUGGCUGAACUGAAGGUCUCUGUGUGACGGUGGGAGUGCUGCCCUUGCAGUUCCCUUUGGUUAUAUCCGCGUGGUCUCUUCAGGUUAUAGAAGCAGCCCAGGUUACAUCUGCUUUAUGUAACCCAUCAGCUGCACUCGCCGUGAAGCCCAUGUGAUGCUCAGCCCUGGCCGUCGUGCAUCCUCUUGUGCUCUCAGGCAAUGCACGCGUGCGCCCCGGGAGAGGCAGCUCUGCUCUGCGUUGAGCCCAGCUUCUAGGAUUCUUUUCGUAGGGGGAAUUUCCACUGAAUCUGCAAGAUUCCCAGGCCAAGCCAAGCCUGAGGCUGGUGUGUUGUGAAACCACGCUGGCUGCUGAGCUGACAGGUGGAGCCUCUUCCUGGUGCCGCAGCAGCCACACUGCUCCGUGGCCAAGUAAAGAACUUCUUCAUUGCUAAAUUUUGCCUCUAAGUGUCAUGUUCAGGACAAAUUCCUGAGCAGAGCCAAGCCUGGCCCUGUUCUUGAGCAGUGCUGCCUUUGCUAGAGCAGUGAGAGCUUGAAAAGAGGUGUCAGGAGGAGCGAUGGCCAUCUCAGAAUACUGGAUUGCUGCAGCUUGAGUGUGUGCUCCUCUCUGCUGAGCCGAGGCCGGGUGUCCCUUCAGCACAGCUCUGCUCCCAGUUCGCUUAGCCAGGGGCGGAGGAUGCUAUCGAUCUCUGCUCGCUUCCCGUCUAGCAGAGAGGCUGCAGACGUGGCUUCCCAUCACGCGGCGCAUUAGCCAAAAUUAAUUCCAGGGCGGCGAGGCAGCCAGUGGGUUCUCAAGGCCGAGACAGAUCCGUGCUGCAGCCACGUGAGGAGGGGCAGAGCAGCUCCCCAGACGCUUCUGCUCAGCCGGACCCACGCUCUGUAGGACGUGGAAGAUGCUGGGGCUGGUGACACGGGCGGUUCAGCUAUAAGGGACAUCUGUCUGCACCAUGUGCUCCCAUUCAGGCUGCUGCUGCAGCAAGUGGGGGACAUUUUGAUGCAUCUUGCUGGCUUUCUUUCAUCCCCAGCCACAGGCACGCCUGUGGAGCACAGGAAGGUUCCUCCCCUGUGACAAGGAAAAAGAAAUCAGCGAGCAGAUCGAGCAUGUACAGCAAAUAAUGAGAUCGCCUUGGAUACGGCGGCGGAAUUCAUGCAAAGAAUUGUGCUGAUCAGAGGAGAUAAGCAGCAGUUCCGUGGCCUGCGAGCAGCGUCAUGAGGCUCGUGUUUCUCAAGUGUUUUCUCAGAGAUGCUUGGAUGAAGGCUGCCAGCAGAGGCCCGAUCCAGGGACAGAUUGAGCUGCUUUAGCUAUUACACUUAGGAGCGUGAUUUAAAAAAUAAACCCUGGAAUAGCUGUGCUGGUGGUUAUUUUGGUGGGGAAGUGCCUCGUAAUACGUCGCAUUUUCCUUGAGGCUUGGCAAUAGGCAAUACAGAAGUGAGCUCUUCUGUACCAGCAGAGCAGCACCCACAGAGAAGGCUCGUCCUGAGGGAGCCCCCGUUGGAGGGGCCGAGUACUGGUGCAGUCGGUGAAAGGAGCUAAGUUUGUGGAAUGCUUUAACAACCAGCAAUUGUUUCUUAUUAAUCCCCUGGUAUUAUAAAAGGGAAAAAAAAAUCACAGUAUUUUACAGACAAAUAAAGACAAAGCGUCUAGCUAGCGAACAGCUCAGUAGCUCAUUCAGGGCUUGUUAAAGCAGCUGAGGGUGUUUGUGCUGUCAGACUGAUUUGAAGGAGGGAUAGUAAACGGCUUUGUUUUUAUUUUUAUGGGAAACGUACUCAGCUCUGCGUUAGCAAUGCCUCUUAGUCAACGCUGGUGUUUUUUCUAAGGACUGAAAAGUGUCGUUAAUGACUAGAUGAGUUCCAGGCAGUCCUUUAAGGCACUUCGAGAUUCGACUGGUACCAGGAGCCUCCCUGCGAGGCUAGUACCAGAAGGCUGCUAGGCAGUGGCAGAUGGGCAUGAGUAGCACUUCCAAAGGCACUUUAGGAAAGUAAAGCAUUCCCCAAAGCCCAGUAAAGCCUCCUUUGAUUGCAGUCCCAGCUUCCUGUACCACGUGCAUGGCAGCAGCCUCACCGAUAGUAAAAUACCCCGAAAAAUAUGUUAUCAUCCAAGUGACUUUUCCCUUUAUGCUGAAAAAAAGAGAAGGGGAGGGGGCCGUGUUCCUUGAGGCAGUUUGGUUUUCCUGUGCCACCUCCUGAGGUCUCAGGGACAAAAUCAUUUUGGGAGGGCCCCAAAGAGCGACCCCUCUCUCCCCACGCUCCCCCAAGAAGGCUGUGCUGUGUUACAAGCAUCCUGCAUGUUGGUAACCCGUUUCCUGCGCUGAAACGAGUGUUGGAUUUGAUGCUGUUAGCUCUCCUCAUGAUUUAAUUAUCGCAGUGCCAGCAGCCUCCCAGCUGCCCACCUUGGCUUUAGCACUGCCCUGCUCACAGGUGGGUGAAGCACGCAGGAAGCGCUGCACAGUUACGGGCUUCGCAGGAGAGGCUGUGGGUGCUUUCCACGUGCUCAUCCUGAUUCACGUAUUUUAUGAAUCAGAACUUAGUCCUGUUUGGUAACGCUUGCCUACGUAGCUGUUAAUGUCAUUGGUAUCCGGGCUCUGAUGUCAGCUGCUGGAGCCCAGGCGCUGGCAGCUGGUGUCCCUGGCCAGCUCCCAGCCUGCAAUUCAAUUUCCCCAUCAGUCACUUCGGAAGACAGGAAAAAAACACAUUUCUGUCUGUUUGUGACACCAAAUCACAAAGGGCUCCAGGCUACAAGUUCAUUUAAGGCUCUUCCACGCUGUGACACAUGGGAAAGCUCAGAAAAAUCGAAUAAUGGUAUAGAAGUGACACCCUCAUCUAUACUGCGCUAAACUACUGUAAGCUAAGGCCAGCUUAAUCCUGGAUGAACAUCUCUGCGCAAGAGUUUAAUGUCUUUUAGGUUUCUUACAUUAACAUCAUCUCUCUGAAUACAGAUCAGUCCAGGCACGUUUUGCCCUGUUCCCAGUCUUGUCAAUGGUGGAAAAGUACCACAAAGGGCAAAGGCAGCAGCAUGGGGGAAUAAGGGCAUCCCCCUGGAAGCACAGAGCUCUGCGCUGCCUUCUGACACUGACCCUCUGCGUGAGCUUUUGUGUAGCACUUUGAGCCUGAAUAUUUCUGUCUGCAUGUUGGGAUUAUUAGUAUGUUCCCUGACUUUACAAAGGGCUUGAGGAUCUCCAGAGAUGCAUGUGCAUCAUUUCCCCAGGUUGAGCUUUCAAAAAUACACCCAGAGGAGCACGUUCCCGUAUGUCUGGAGGACCCAACUGGGAUGUCACAGCUGCUUUGGUUCUUAGAGAGAAGGAAUUCAGACCAGCUGAGAGCCAGCCCCACCACCAGGUAUUGCUCCCUAGACUGACAAAGGAAAGAGAGAAUUGUGACACCUAGUUAAGUGCAUAUAACUGUGCCUAAUAAGAAGUGUGUGUAAACCAGAAUCGCAUGCCUGCAGGGCGCAACUCUGUCCUACUAACUGCCUGUCAGCUAUCCUGCUUAUUUUAUCUGGAAACAUUAUCAUUUGGGAGCUUUUUCAUGACUUUAGAUGUUUAGGAAGAGGACAUUUAUUUCAAUUUAGCCAGUGGAACAGAAAAAAUUCCACUGAGUCAGACGGAGCUGAUUUAUUAGGGAACGACUCUGGAAGAUCUUCCUUAUAUCUGAACUCAAAAUCUCAUCCCUUCUUUCACAUUCCUUAAUAUGCUUACUGCUUAGCAGCCACAACCUCAAUGAAUGCAUGCCCUGUCUUGCUGAGAACUCCUAACAACCCCUUCUCCUUCGUACAAAAGCUGUGAAGAUGAGACCUGCUGGACAGUAAGAAGCAAUGUCCGCUCCACUUUUAUUAGGACUCUCUGGGAUGCAAGCGACAGGGAACAGAGCGAGUCCCUGCUGGCUGAAUUCCACGGGCUUCGCACCCAGCUACAGAAAGGCCCAGAGGCAUUUUGAGUCUUUUUGUGUACACAUCAGCCCCGUGCUGCUCCCAGGCAAUUGCAUGUUAACUUAGCUGUUAUUAGUAAUAAGGGAUUGGCUGACGAUGGUUCAAACUAAUUUCCAUGGGAAUAUUGCCUGAAACAGGAUAAAUGACUGGGCUUUGAGUUGUGUAACCAGACUUUGUAACGUGAAGGAAUGAAACCCAGGAAAUUUCACGUGGUGGGGAGUGACUGACCUUGCAUAACCUCCACAAGACCCAUAUUCCCUCCAUUUCUAGCAUGCUGCAUUCCUUAUUUUCUGAAAAUACCAGGUUUGCACUUUCAGCCUGUGUCCUUUGGGAUUAAAUUUUUAUCACCCCUCA